rnacentral:rRNA from 1 species
AAGACCUUGCACUUUUGGAGCGGCCGAUGUCUGAUUAGCUAGUUGGUGGGGUAAUGGCCUACCAAAGCUUCGAUCAGUAGCUGGUCUGAGAGGACGGCCAGCCACACUGGGACUGAGACACGGCCCAGACUCCUACGGGAGGCAGCAGUGGGGAAUUUUGGACAAUGGGCGCAAGCCUGAUCCAGCCAUGCCGCGUGAGUGAAGAAGGCCUUCGGGUUGUAAAGCUCUUUCAGCCGGGAAGAAAAGGUUGCGACUAAUAAUCGCAAUUCAUGACGGUACCGAAAGAAGAAGCACCGGCUAACUACGUGCCAGCAGCCGCGGUGAUACGUAGGGUACGAGCGUUAAUCGGAAUUACUGGGCGUAAAGGGUGCGCAGGCGGUUUUGUAAGUCAGAUGUGAAAUCCCCGGGCUUAACCUGGGAACU